rnacentral:rRNA from 1 species
AUGAACGCGUAGCGGAUGCCUUACGACAUGCAAGUCGAACGGCGAGCGAUAAAGGAGAGCUUGCUCUCUUGAUGGCGAGUGGCGAACGGGUGAGUAAUGUAUCGGAACGUGCCCAGUAGCGGGGGAUAACUACGCGAAAGCGUAGCUAAUACCGCAUACGCCCUACGGGGAAAGGAGGGGAUUCGCAAGGACCUUUCACUAUUGGAGCGGCCGAUAUCGGAUUAGCUAGUUGGUGAGGUAACGGCUCACCAAGGCGACGAUCCGUAGCUGGUUUGAGAGGACGACCAGCCACACUGGGACUGAGACACGGCCCAG